rnacentral:rRNA from 1 species
CUCUAAGGAGACCGCCGGUGAAAGCCGGAGGAAGGUGGGGAUGACGUCAAGUCCUCAUGCCCUGUAUGCCUCGGGCUGCACACGUGCUACAAUGGCCGAUACAAAGGGGAGCGAAGCCGCAAGGUGUAGCCAAUCCCGGAAAAUCGGUCUCAGUUCGGAUUGCAGGCUGCAACUCGCCUGCAUGAAGCUGGAAUCGCUAGUAAUCGCGGAUCACCAUGUCGCGGUGAAUACGUUCCCGGGCCUUGUACACACCGCCCGUCACACCACCCGAGUUGGGUGCACCCGAAGAUUCUUGCGAGAAUUGAGGGUGGACCUGGCGAGGGGGGUGAAGUCGUAACAAGGUAGCCGUACCGGAAGGUGCGGCUGGAUCACCUCCUUUCU